UACAGAGGGUGCGAGCGUUAAUCGGAAUUACUGGGCGUAAAGCGCGCGUAGGCGGCUUUGCAAGCCGGAUGUGAAAUUCCCGGGCUUAACCUGGGAACUGCAUUCGGGACUGCAUUGCUAGAGUAUGGGAGAGGGAAGUGGAAUUUCAGGUGUAGCGGUGAAAUGCGUAGAUAUCUGAAGGAACAUCAGUGGCGAAAGCGACUUCCUGGACCAAUACUGACGCUCAUGUGCGAAAGCGUGGGGAGCAAACAGG
rnacentral:rRNA from 1 species